AGUCCUGUUGUUGCCCUGUGUCAUGCAGAUGCUGCAACCCUGGAUCAGCAGGACUGGCUCCUACAUGCAUCCCAACUGUUUAUAGAUGAUAUGGAUUUUGAGGUGGGCCAACACAGAAACGUGGAUCUGUGGAGCCCAGAUGGGAGCCGAACUGGUCAGUGCUGACUCUCCCUUAUCUAUACCAUCAGGCUGAGCUCUUCAGCAGUGCUUUGGCUAGGCCACCCAAAGCCACCAUCUGCAGCAGACAAGGUCAAUUCUUCUGCUCUCAUGCCUUGGCCAUCAUGACCAGCUAGCUCCACUGUGUUGCUGGCCAGGUGAAGAAGUCACAUGUGGUGAAUAUAUUAUCAUCAGAAUGCGGAGCAAUGAAAUGUAAACAGAUAGGAAUCGUCACUAAAGCUCCAACUGCAGCCUCCGGGUGCCAUAGCUUUUGCACCAUCCAUUUGCACCAUCUCUGCAGUAAGUCCUAGCUCAAGCCUUACUCCAAAGUACAAAUUAGCAUAGCAGCUCAGUCAACAAUGCCUCCGAGCUUCUGGAAAGAAAGAUGCUCAGUCACCAUAGACCCAGAAUUAAUGAAAAGUCACAGAAAUAAUAGCUCCAUUCUCUACUUGCUUCUGAACCUCAAAUCAGUGGUUGGCAACAAGGAUGUCUGCAUCAUCUGUAUUGACCUGCUCCCCAGAUUAAUACCGAAGCACUGCAAUUUCUUGAGGAUUAUCCACCUAGGAGGAAAUGAUACGCUGGCCCAUCCAUAGUAGUCAAGGUUUCUUGGAAGAGAAGAAUGAGAUUGGAUCUGAGAAAAUGUGGCUGGGAACCACCAUCUCAGAUGGUAGAAACCACUCAGAAGGAUCAACUGCUGCAGACGGGAAGAGGAGCAACCUCGUGAAUAAUUUCGUGACAGGAUAUUGCAGGAGGGACUUUGUCCAAAUGUGUGCAGGGAUUAGAGGACUUCUCCGAGGCGGCUCCAAUGGAUGCCAGCAGAGUUAAAGUGUCCAAUGGAGAGAAGAGAAGGCUUGGGAAAUCCAGAGUCCAUUCAUUCAUCGCCCUCCUCCUAGAACAACAAAAGCGAGCCCCAGUACUCAUCAGCAUGGACUCUGUGUGUAGUCAUCUCCCUUAGUUUCAGAGGUUCCUGCCUACAGCAAAACUUUAGAGGC
rnacentral:lncRNA from 1 species